GAAAACAUGCUCAAUACUUAUCUUUCUUCAGACGGGUAAAAAUAUGUAUUAGGCUCACGACCCUCACUGAUGAGCCAUAUUGAACCGCACUUGUAAGAAAACAAAGUUGAGAUUUGCUUAAUCAUUUUGUUGCGUUGUGGUAGUUUCGGUGGCGAGCUGGUAAUUUUGUAAUAAUAAGUGUAAUACUUACUGCUGUGACACAACCAAUUGCCGUUUGUUUCUUUUAUAUUUAUAGUGAUUCAUCGUAAUUAUCACUCAACUAAUUAUUAUUUUCUAGGACGCAACUCAAAAGCUUCAUUUAAAACGUGUGCUAUAUAGCCACAACUCAAAAGGGCCGUCAGUUCACGGAAUCGUCUGACAAUUUAUGGUCAAAUCCAUAAGGCCACUUGUGAGAAAAAGGCUCUUAAAGACCUUUUUUGCUAUGGCUCUCGAAAUAAGGUCGUAAAUUGAACAAUUUUGAAUACGAAUCUGCAAUAAUCCAGAAAAUUAAAAAUUUUGAAUUGUGGCCGUAUAGCAGGCACACGGCGAUGUAUC